UAUCCAUGGUUUCUAUAUUUCUCAGAUUUAUUUCUUUUCUGUGUUGAUAACUUUCAAGUUUAUCUUCAUAGAAUUCAAUUUCAUUUUCUAUAGUUAAUAAAGCUUUAUUACGCAAUCUAUUAUAUCUAAUUAUGUCUUUGCAGGUUUUAAUAUUGUGUUUAACACAAUCUAUUUUUCUAUUUAUGUUACUGAGGGUUUUAAGAAGUUUCCAUUUCUGGGUGUUAUAGAAUCUUAUAUAAUGAAAAGUGUUAUGUUUCAUUUAUAAACAGNGAUAUGUGAUCGUUAAUCUGAAUAUAAAUCAAGUUCAUAUAGAUCUAAUAUAUCUAUUUCUUGUGAUACAAUUAGUUUUGUAAAUGCUUGUUCCAUUACAUAUAUUAUUUCAAAAGUAACUAAAAUAUCAUAAAUUUUUCUUUUAACAUCGUUAUUAAGUCUGUUAAAGAUAUAUAAUAUAAGUAUUUUGUACUCAAUAUUUUCUUCUAAUAAAUACGUGUGGUUGUGGUUGUUCAUUCAGAUUUACUAUUUAUCCUUAUCAUGCCUGUUGAUACAUAUAUCCAUGGUUUUUAUAUUUCUCAGAUUUAUUUCUUUUCUGUGUUGAUAACUUUCAAGUUUAUCUUCAUAGAAUUCAAUUUCAUUUUCUAUAGUUAAUAAAGCUUUAUUACGCAAUCUAUUAUAUCUAAUUAUGUCUUUGCAGGUUUUAAUAUUGUGUUUAACACAAUCUAUUUUUCUAUUUAUGUUACUGAGGGUUUUAAGAAGUUUCUAUCAAACAUGAUCAAACUCAAAAUUAAAAUAUUCCUAUAGUCCAUUGACUGCUAACAGUCCGUAAAUUUACAACAUGCUCCUAAAUACAACUAUGUAUCUAAAGGAAAAGAAAUAA
rnacentral:lncRNA from 1 species